GGGGACGAAAGGGUUCGACAGCGGUUGAUUUCGAGUUGUUGCGUGCCGAGCUGGCGUUGCUCGUAAAUCCACGCCAAACCUCCCUAAUUGGCGAAUCCAGGGAACUCGCCCUCGCCGCUUAACCGCGGUGACGUCGUCUCUCACCCGCUGCCGAGUCGGAGAGAGAACGGCGCCGUUCACUCGGAUGCCCGUCGCGGGCGGUUGGGACCGCGCCGGAAAGAUUAAUUCCACUCACCUGCUCGUAACGGUAGGCCGACGCGCCGGCGUGCAGGGACAACACAAGCGACGGCUACGCACGUAGAGACAGCCCGCGACGAUCGUCUGGACGGGGAGUUCGAUUCUCCCCCGUCUCCACCA
rnacentral:tmRNA from 1 species